UUUUAGUUUAUGAUAAGUCGAGUUAAACAGAUGACGUCUAGCAUUGAUUAUGAUAGAGUGGGAAAAGGAGUGGUUGAUUUAGUUUUAAAAUAUUUAUCCUUUAAGAAUAAUGGCGGUGCUUUGAAUGCAUUUAUCAAAGGAUAUUCGAGUUUGAACGGGGUACUUAUGUUCGAACGGGAAGUUGCUUGUGCUCAAGUUCCAACUGGAUUGUUAGACACCAAUGGAAUAAAUAUAAGUACUUAUUGCUAACGUCUGGCACAUAUUUCAACAGCUUUCUACUAAGUUAAAACCUGUCCAUUUGCUCGGAAAGACUGACAUAGUUCAGCGAUAUGAAAACCAAAGGGACCAACGCUUUUCGAAGAAGGGUAUCACUUUGCAGCGAAAAGCGAGUGUCCUGUUUAAGAAAUCGAACUAUAAAGGAACAUCUUUGCACGAAUGAACAAGAUUAUGAAGGACUGUGCUAGGAAUGUAAAAUACAGUUGAAUUUGACCCAUCGGAGAGCCUGCAAUUUUCUGAAAGGUUUCUACUGCGUUUGCCAUAGCAAGUGUUUGGCAAGUCAACUGCUCAACGAACAUUGAAGUUGAAGGUAUUUCUGGACUUCCAUUAUGAAAUACUUCUGCAGUCCUUGUUACUUGUUGUAUACAUUUUGACUUCUAGAAUAUUUUAGAGUAAUUUACCAUAUCAUGUAAUCAAAUGAGACUGCACAAUAUUCUUCUGUUCCACAUUUGUCCAAGUAUAGUGGUUUUCGGAAAGGCUCACGAGGCGUUCACCUCAUGCCCCGAGUCGAGGAACUUGGUAUAUUCGACGAACGGCAUUAUGUCGAUGUUUAGUUUGACCCUGUAUAGGUGCAGAACCACAAGGCUUUUGCAUCUGAAGCCUUAUUAAACUCGGCCACUAAUAAAGCAUGUCUAUAAAAAGACAAAUUAGAAAGUCUUUUUAGACUUGACUAAAGAAGUAUUUAGUCUAUACAUCCUAAGCAAUGCGGUAUAUCAUAAUGAUAUACCGCAUAAUUCUAAAUAUAAUUCUAAAAAAUAAUUCUAAAAUGGUUGAGAUAAUCCCUCUAACAAGUGAAUGACCCAGAGAAUUAAAGUAAUCGAAAGUUUUAGUACCUUCAUACUGAAAGUUAAUUUGUAUAGUUAUAUCUGAAAAAGGAUACUGUGAAUGAGGACAACUUUUUCUCACGUUGAUAUCUAAUGAAUUAUAAUAAUUAGUUCAAAAAUCUGGAUCCUGCCCAUUAGUCUGAAUUUCUAGCUUCAUUGGAAAGAUGCAAGGAUAACAAAUUCUAUAUAAAUGAGCACGUAGAAUGUUACGAAUGAAACUUUAUAAUUGGAUCGAUCGUUACCUUUUACAUAUAUAAAACUUUACACGAAAUUAGGAAAUGAAGUUUCGAAUUUUCAUUAGAAUCCUGACUGAUCAAGAAAGCAUUUAAAUCCAAAGUAAAAAAAAUCGGGGAAAACUUCGGACGCAAGAACUUGAUUGAUAAAUAUUGAAUUCGGUUGGAAUUUUUUCACUAAACAUUGCAUUUUGCACGUCAAAACUGCCAAAGGCUUCGGUUUCUUUGGAUAGAAGUUGAAAAGUAUAAGCUUCUUGUAAGGGAAAUGAAUGCUUUCGCAUCAAGCUUGUAUGACCACAAGAGGUGGCGCGAGCAAUUCGUCUGGUUAGCUUGAAUCUUUCCGUUUACAUUGGCUAUAAUUUCAAUGAGUGGCGAUUCAUCUCACUCGUAAAGACAUUUUCCUAAAAUUAAAUUUUCAAUUAUAGUCUAGAAUCAAAUGUAUAUUAAACUUGGAUUCUUAACGAAAUGCAUGGUUAAAUUUUGCAUCAGUGGCUUUCUUUCGGCAAUAUGUAUGCAAAUCUUUAUCCUUUUAUAUCCUGUAUUUAUCAGCAACUAAAACUAUAUUUGUACCAUCAAUACAUUUGGUACAAAACUCUAAGAAAGAAAUCUUAACUUUUUCUUCUACAGACAAUCGGAUUUGCUCAUGUUCAUGAAUAGUUAUACAAAUGGACACAUGACGAUAUAAACGUUCAAAUAAGUUUUUUCAAAUAGUAAUGAUAUACCGGAUUCUGAAUAUCCAGACGGGAAGACAGAGAACCGGUCUCGCUACAAAAUAAAAAUUGUUAAAUGAAUAGGUGACAUAAUUUUCUUAAAGCUAGCAAUCAAACAGUUUAGAUAUCGAUGAAUUUGCUGUGCUUGAGUUCUAUUAAAAUUAAUAUCGGAUUAACUUUAGGGUUUUUAAUUUUAAACUCCUAUGUUAAAAAUACCAAGUUAAGCUUCUCCAUGAGUCAGAUAACGUAGGUUAAUGUACUUUCUAGUAUACUUAGAUGUGUCUUAGUGUAGUUAUACAAUACUUAGUUUGAUAUAAUAUUCGAUGUAUGCUAAUUAGUGUUGAUUUAGAUUGUGCUUAGAGCAUGUUUUAGAGUAGUUUUUAUGCAGAAAACGGUGGGCUGGGCAAUGGAAGAAAUGGGUUAAGGAGGUAGUGAA